rnacentral:rRNA from 1 species
AAUCUUACCGGGUCCGGACACACUGAGGAUUGACAGAUAUAUACCACGCGCACUUCGGUGUGCGUGGUUGAAAGAUGCUAGUUCUUUCAUGAUUAUGUGAUAGGUGGUGCAUGGCCGUUCUUAGUUCGUGGAGUGAUCUGUCUGCUUAAUUGCGUAUCAAUAAUAGAGACCUAGUAUACGCGUAUAUUCGUAUCUUGGUUCGUGACCCCCUUCGGGCGUGUGUUGCAACCGUACGUUAUAUGCACUGGUCUCCGAUAGCAACGAACGUGACCGUACUCUAUUGUUGCAGCGAAUAUAUACUCUCUCGGGGGUGUAUUACCGCUGCUUAGUGUGUGUAUGUCCUCGUGGUAUACCACACAUUAAACUAUAGAGACCGCUGUUUCUUCUUUAAACCAGAGGAAGGAUACGGCAAUAACAGGUCUGUGAUGCCCUCAGAUGUUCCGGGCUGCACACGUGCUACAAUGAUCAUUGCACUGUGCAUCUAACCCAAUGUGCGUGGACGCCACGUAUUGUAUCCGCUUCGGUGGUUGCAGUACUGUUGGUCGACCACGCCGAACCUACUUCGAAAGUAAACAUUUCUCAGUGGGUAAUCCAUUAGAAGUAAUGACUCGCAUAGACCUUGGUACACUUUAUAUGUACGCGCAGGUUCUACCCGGCCUUGCCUUUGUGUAAGGUGCAGUGCGUAGCUUGUUGUUUUCGUACGUACCACUCCGUAUUAAUUCAUACGUGGGGAUAGAUCAUUGUUUAAUUGUUGGUCUCGGUCUUAACUAGGAAUGCCUUGUACGGGUCUUUGGUUCAACAUACCACCCGGAAUACGUCCCUGCCCUUUGUACACACCGCCCGUCGCUCUUACCGAUGGAUUAUACUAUGAAUCUAUAGGACUGCCAAAGUGACCCUCGCGGCGCUUAGUGGAAAUAUAUAUGAAAUAGUGUGAUCUAAAGGAAA